CAGUAGCCACGGUAAAACGAAGGGGGCUAGCGUUGCUCGGAAUUACUGGGCGUAAAGGGAGCGUAGGCGGACAUUUAAGUCAGGGGUGAAAUCCCAGAGCUCAACUCUGGAACUGCCCUUGAUACUGGGUGUCUUGAGUGUGAUAGUGGUAUGUGGAACUCCGAGUGUAGAGGUGAAAUUCGUAGAUAUUCGGAAGAACACCAGUGGCGAAGGCGGCUCACUGGCUCAUACUGGACGCUGAGGUGCGAAAGCGUGGGGAGCAAACAGGAUUAGAUACCCCUGUAGUCCCUGUCUCUUAUAC
rnacentral:rRNA from 1 species